GAUGAACGCUGGCGGCGUGCCUAAUACAUGCAAGUCGAGCGAACAGACGAGGAGCUUGCUCCUCUGACGUUAGCGGCGGACGGGUGAGUAACACGUGGAUAACCUACCUAUAAGACUGGGAUAACUUCGGGAAACCGGAGCUAAUACCGGAUAAUAUAUUGAACCGUAUGGUUCAAUAGUGAAAGACGGUUUUGCUGUCACUUAUAGAUGGAUCCGCGCCGCAUUAGCUAGUUGGUAAGGUAACGGCUUACCAAGGCAACGAUGCGUAGCCGACCUGAGAGGGUGAUCGGCCACACUGGAACUGAGACACGGUCCAGACUCCUACGGGAGGCAGCAGUAGGGAAUCUUCCGCAAAGGGCGAAAGCCUGACGGAGCAACGCCGCGUGAGUGAUGAAGGUCUUCGGAUCGUAAAACUCUGUUAUUAGGGAAGAACAAAUGUGUAAGUAACUAUGCACGUCUUGACGGUACCUAAUCAGAAAGCCACGGCUAACUACGUG
rnacentral:rRNA from 1 species